rnacentral:lncRNA from 1 species
UAAAGAGAGGCGAUGAAGCUCGCGCAAGUACCGGGAGAGACGACAACGCCACGGAAAAGUAGUUAUAAGCCAUUUGAAACCGUUUAAAGUUACUGUUGUCACUGAAACACUAAACUAUAUGGGUUGUUUGUGUGUUACCGGUACUUAAUGUUGGAGUGAGCCAAGUUCAGAGCUGUUUCAGCCGGGAAUCGUACUGCAUGUCCGCGACGCCAUUUUCGUGGUGUCUGGAGCUACAGUUAGCCUCGUUCCCGCUAGCUAGGAGAAGGAGACCACGCGUUUGUGUGAGGGAGAAAUAUUUUGCGCAGUUUCCUGAGUGAGUAUGGGCAUUAUUUUAUGGUGGCCAAGAACAGCGACUGCUGCAAAUAAAAAAAGUAUCCAAAAAACAAAACAAAAAAGAAGCCACAACAGAAGUUACUGAUGCAUCAAAAGAGAAACUGAAGCCCGCUGCAAAAAAAAUUUAUGGCUUUUUUAAUUUGCAUCCUUUUCUUUUUGCAGUAAGUAACUUUUUUUUCCAUUGCCACUGUUUUUUGCAUCGUUAACUUCCAUUGCAGCUGUCUUUUUUUUCUUUAUCUGCACCGUUUCUUUUUUUAUUUGCAGCGGGCUUCAGCUUCUUUUUUUUGCAUCGGUAACUGUCGUUGUGAUGCAGUGGCCAUUCUUGGCCACUGUAUUACUUGAACUGAUGACAGUAUGAAAAUGUUUAAGAGCGAACAGUGAGUUUAUUAGUGUUUUGAAUUUCUGCCAGGGGGCGCUCAGAAUUCACGUUGUCUUCAGAGAACCUGCUGUUUCAUGAGGAUGUGUCCCAGGAGUAGUAUCUUCAUCUUCGUUCACUGUACUCCUCUGAACUGAGGGUUUGAGGAAACUGUUGCUAUCCGUGAGUACUGAGAAACACUUUGACAAGGAUACAUGAGCACUAACAUGCACGUUAAUGAUAAGGUACCAUAACUGAGUUACAAAACCCUGGGGAUUUUUAUUUUAUUUUAUUUUAUGGACUCUAAAGGGUCACCAGAUCAAGGUGAAGGGUGAUUGUCUGUGUUUAUUUGUUUGGAAUGAACAUUUCAUCCUGUUGCAAUGUAUAUUUGCAGUCGUACUGUUUAUUUGAAUGUGGUGUUAUUAGGGCCAUAGUGUGUGAAAGGUUCAUGCAUUGUAGUAUUAAAGCUAAAUGGGCCUCUCUGCACUCUAUAGGCAGAGUCAUAUGCUCUAUGUAAAAGUAAACGCAUUACAGGGUUAAUAUUUUAGUAGAGUCCCUCCAAAUCAGCUCCCAUACUAAAGGAGUCAUCAGGUAUAAGGGGUUUUACCAUGACAAUUCUGUAACAAAUUAGAGUUAAUUGGGAGGGCUACAUUAAAAGUUUAAAUCUUACACUAAUGCAGUAAAGCUCCUCCACGGGAAACAUAGAAAAUACUCAGAUCAUUCAUCAACUUUUUGUUGCAUUUACAAGCAAACAGCUGCUCAGGUGCAGCAGCACAGCAGCCAACAGAGUAAAACCAGUGUUGUGUGUUGCUCCCUGUGAAUGAGUGUAAUUAAAUGAAUCUGCAGUGAGGCUGUGAUGGAGCUAAAAAAGCACGCUCAGCAAACCCCCAAUAUAAGAGAAAUAAUGGCUGGUGAAAGAAUAAUAAGGUUUUGUAAUAAUGUAGCUGCAGAAAAGCCAGCAUGAGAGAAACAAAUGCGGUUAAUGUGCCCUCCUCUAUUUAUUCCCUGAUGGUUAAAGAAGCUGCUCAAUACAAAACUGCACACGCUCAGUCCACUGCCCCCCCCCUUUAUAAGACCUCUUAGAUGAUCUGUGAGUUUUAUCAAACCAACAGGAAGCACAGUAACAGCAGCACACUUGCGUCUCUACGUACGUAAAAGCUAACAUUUGAAUUUGUUGUGUUAGACUGGAUGGAUUAGAGUAUAUUUGUGCAGGAUCAGGAACAAAUUCGACUUAAAUUGUGAGGAAAAGGCAAAGAUAAACCACAAAGUAUCAAAAUAUUCAUGCUUACCAUAACAAUGACAGAGAUCAUAUUGUAUUAUCUUGUUUUAUUCCAAUAGAUUUUACAUUUUAAGCUCCCAUUUAAUGGAAAUGUAUGUAUUGUUUCAUAAAAAAUCAUAGUUGUCCCUAAUGCAGAGUUUUAAAUUUAAAACUCUACAUCUUAAAUACAUUCCAUUCUUUUUACAGAUGUACUCAUGUCCCAGAUUUACUGUGAAAUAAAACCUUAUUUUUAAUACCACAAAUAGAAAAUCAUAACAUGGUCAUGACUAUUUGCAGGAGCACACAUUAGCCGGUCAUGGCUGUGCACAGUGUCUGUCCGAGUGUGUGAAUGUAAAUUGAAUCCAUUUGUUAGCAUUCUCGUCACGAGGAGGAGCUUGAUAAUUAGCUGCUGUAAUUCAGAAACAAUGACUCCAGCCUCUAGCUGCGCACGGCGGCCUCCAGGCACCGGAAAGGACGAGAUGAACGGCCCCAUUCAGCGGCUCCACACAGUCAACAGCACCCAUGGGUGAAGUCCAAACCCUUGUGACAGAUUUUGUUUGUUAUGAAGUGGCAGCAACUCACUGGCUUACAGUCCCAUGAAGGCAGGCUGGCACUUCAUUACUCACAAGGUAAGGGGUGGUAACUAAUUAAUAUGCUGCAGCAUUAAUCAUUGUGUAAUGAAGUGCAGUUUCUAUGUUAAUUGAAUGGAGAAACAAUGGCCCACUGAGGUGGUGUAAACUUGCAAAAUGUAACCUGAUACUGCCACCAGGAAUAAGACAGUUUAAGAUUACACGCACACAAACACACACAAGCAGAGGUGCAGGAGUCUCUCUCUCUCUCACACACACAGAUUAAGAGGAUAUUUUAAAACAAUAAAGUCAGCCUUUCCAUUGAGUAUGAUAUCAUCUUUUAAUCAAAGCCAGUCUGGGCGGUGAUAUUAGGUCUCUUACCUUGAAUUUCACCCUUCUUCUGUUUGGUUUAGACUAAAAUUCAAGUUGUUUUUUAAUCAAAAACAUCAUGUUUAUGAUUGAAGCAGGGUUCAGCGCCUUACUCUUUGUGUCAUCUCGGUGACAUGCUGAAGUUAAAGCACUGUCACACCAUCACAUGUCACUCGUGUCUCUGUGACAGACAAAAACAGUAUUUCUACCUCAAGGUAAACAAAGAGGUUUGAAGGGCUGCUUGACAAACGCAACGGCAGUCAAUCAGAUAACUGAAAUCUGCUUUAGCAUAGAAUAAAGUUGAGAUUAUACCUCUGUGCAGAAAUCUAUCUCAGUGACUACUGAAGCAUCUUUUAAAAAAUCUGAAAAUUUUGCGUCUUUUAAAGCAGAUGUUGAGAAUAUGAGAAUACUUUGAAAACAGUUCUCAUUGCAUUUGAUUUGAAAUAACUAGGGUUAUCAAAAUUAUAGAUACUUUGAAAAGUAUUGAUACUUACACGCCGUAUCAGGGAACGAUACUAAUUUGCCAUGGUAUUGAUACUACCAUGUGCGUGCCCGCAGCGCCCGCCGCGUGCACUCUGCAAGCAGCACGGCCGACCCGGCAGACAGCGUCCGGUAGUCGGGAGAGCCCUGAUGAGUUCCGGCAGGUUAGUAAAGCUCCUGUUCAUCCUAUACUUUACUGUAGGAAACUCAUUAAUGAUGUUAGUCUGGCCGGUCGCCAGCAUUAAUCCGCGGAAGCUGCAGUGAGCUUUAUGAUCAGUGAAUGUUGUUUGUUCUGUUUUCAGCCAUUAACUGCGUGCCCAUGGCUAGCAGCCUUUAGCUAACUAACAUGACUCAAACGUGUUUUCUUCUCUUAAAGAUGCAGACUGAAGCAAAGAGAAGUAAACCUGCGACUAAACCAAAGAAACCACAGCCUACUCUUCUACUGCUAUUUGAAAAACAGAGGAAGUAUGACCCAAAGUCUCCUGAAGCUGUCAAACUAAACAGCAGUGUACAUCUGUGAGGACCAACUAACCAUUUACAUUUUUCAUGUUAAUAAAAAUAAUUUUUAUGCCUUUUAAA